GUAGGGGAGUGGGGGGAGUUUAAAAAAACGUUGCGUACACUACGCAAGAGUAGGUAUUCUGUUGGGUUUAGUCUGCUCGUACCGUAGCAGACGGGUUGGAAGAUGUCUAUGUAAGUGUUUGUAAUGAAAAAGUCUCACAAUCUCAUAAGAAACCUACGUGGACCACCAAACAAAAGAGGUGGCCCAGAGUCCUUGGAUCAUGACUACCUGGCCUGACAACACCAGGCUGACCUUGUCCAAAGCCGCUGUCCACAGCCCACAUGGUGGACCUUGUCUACCUGGUUGAACAGCUCAUCUGGAUUCAGUCGGAAGAAAGGAUACAGUUCACCUAUGUUUAUUGAGCUGCUGGUCUUCUGAACGUGCAAAAAUAUAAAUGUGACUGUAAUGGUAAUCCAAUCUGAUCUCACCAGCAGAAGCAGAAGACAACACCUCAUACUCCGACUACUAUUUGAUUGAUAUUUGAUAUGUCAGCAACCUUAGAUCAGAGGAAUGUGCCCAGAUUGUUUACAAGCUUUUACCUUUACAUCUCAUGUGCCAGGGAUAAGUAGUUAUUAGAGGGGGCAGGUAUCAAUGUAAUGUUUUAUGUGAAGCUAUUGAAUGAAUCCAAAGUCACAUUUAUAUUGUAAGAAUUAUAAUCGCUUUCUUUUAAUAAAGUUUGUUUGCAAUA